GACGUAGGGCGCGAGCGUUGUCCGGAAUUAUUGGGCGUAAAGAGCUCGUAGGCGGCUUAGUAAGUCGGCGGUGAAAUACCGAGGCUCAACCUCGGCACUGCCGUCGAUACUGCAGGGCUAGAAUGCAGAAGGGGCAACUGGAAUUCUCGGUGUAGCGGUGAAAUGCGUAGAUAUCGAGAGGAACACCUGCGGCGAAGGCGGGUUGCUGGGCUGACACUGACGCUGAUGUGCGACAGCAUGGGGAGCAAACGAGG
rnacentral:rRNA from 1 species